AAAAGACACGCUCCGUUUUGUCUCUGUUGGUUUUAGAUAUUAAGGAUCCAUUGGAGAGGAACCUCUGGCUUUUGUGCUCGUAGGAUGCCGAGGGCGGUGUACAUUCUGCGUAGCGCGGUGGUGCCCCGGCUUAACCACAGCUCUUAGUCACCUUAUAUAACAUUAGCAAUUUCUUAAUCUUUUUUUUUUUUUUUUUCUCCUUUUACCCUCGCAGGCAGAUCGGUUGAAGUGAGUUUAUCCCAAGUCUGAAACAGAAUGUUUUCCAAGGUGGUCAGCUUGGCCCGGGCAGGCUCACGGAGGUUUCCCAUGGGAAGAUCCGGUAGAGCUGAUGCGAUGACAUCCGCCUGAGAUGAGGAUGCUGUCUGGAUCAGAAACGCGGCUGUACACCGGGGUGUGGUAGAAGAUGGGGACCCCCUUCUGUACGGAGGAACCCCACUUUGGGAAAAGCUCCUAAGAAAAAGAAAAGAUAGGCCUUCCUAAAGCAGUGCUUUAUAUGUUUCAUUAUAGGAACACUGGAAGAAUAAUUAAAAAAAAAAACCCUAAGCGCUAAGAAAUGUGUGCUUUAAAAACAUUUACAGCUAAAUUAGUGCCAAGGAUGUUGGUUUACACCCCAGCGAAAUAUUGAUGACCAAGGUAUAAAAGCCAGGGAAAAGGUUGCACGGAGAACACGUCUGGGAUUGUAGGAAGCGCUGCCGCUUCCCGUGCCCUUUUCCCUUGGGCUGGAAAACGGGUAUUGUAGCUGAUUUUUUAUACCGUGCCCUUGCGCCGCUCCGUUUCCCAGCCGGCCCCGUGCAGCUGAGCUCGCGCUAGGCUGGCGUUGCUCAGGAUUUUGCCAUUUUUAGCUGCGAGGGCCGAAGUCUGAGGGAGGCUGUAACCCUCAGUUAGGGAUCUGUUGGUGUAACUUUCCUUGUGAUUGUUUGGGGUGAGGGAAAUAUGCUGCUGUACGUGGUCCUUCCUGCCAAACUUGCAGCUAGAGCGAAGCCUUAUAGCCAAGCAAUAAAUCCCCAAAAUGAAAGGUUUACGAUGGAAAUGCUGACAAACCCUUAACUAACACAUUACAAAUGGCGGCGUUAAAAUUCAGUAGCUAUAAGCUAAAUUAGCAGCGGCGCGGGCAGCCUUCGAGGAUUGCCGUAGCGAGCCGGCCGCAGUCCGGAGGCCUUGUCUCGUUAAGGAUAUGCAGUAAGACUAUGGCUUUUAAUUUGCUUUUAAUGUUUCUGACAACCUUUUGUUGCUCUAACUUGCACGCAGGUGCAAAACGACGGCUGCUCCUUUGGUUUUUCAUGAAGUUUUUCGAUGAUCAUUGGAAGAACAUCCGUCGGGUGAGAACAAGAGCCCGGAAGUGCUAGUAUAAAGAUUGGGUGGGAUUUGACCAUUUUCUGCAUGUGAGGUAUCUGAAGAAGCCUGGACCCACCGCUGCUGGGCCGCACCGCCCUCGGGGGACACCUGGUAGAAGCAGCUUCCUCCCCAAAACCUCGUCCCCAAAAAUGUCCUUCCCAAAAACGUCCUCCCCAAAUCCUCGCCGUGCCGGCCCACGGGAUUUCUGCUGCUCAGGGGCUGCAGCAAAGGGUGCCUGUGCCUAACGAGGGCCCUGGGACCAGGGCUGGGAUUGAAUCCGGGAUAUUUCCAAUUAUCGCUGUAGGCAAAGGUGUGAAUGCAAAGGCUUCUGCGUGGCCGUGAUACCUACUCGUGUAACCUGUGCUUUUCCACUUCAUAAGGUGCUUCGAGACCCUUUUCUGCUUUCCAGGUGAGGACGCAGCCUCCUCAGCUCCGUUUUCCAAGUAAAAAUGUUGAGUCCCUACUGUCGUUACAGAGCUGCGCUUCAGCACAGGCGUGCGUGACGCUCGUGCGGCUCCUCAGGUGCAAAAAAAAAACCAACUCGGGCAAGAAAUUUCAAAUACUUCUCCGUCAAACUGCUGUGCUCCUCUGCAAGAAGCCGAGCAGUCGGUCCUUGCUGGAGCACAAGGAGCUCGCGCAGUUUUUUCCUGAGCAGGCACGCAGCAUCUCUGCUGCAGGACUCCAGAUGCUCAGCGACAUUCCUGGGUUUCAUUUUCGGCUCAGCCUUUCCCAGCAACUUGCAGGAGGCAUUCGGAAAAACGAGGAUGUCAGAUCGCGCUCGCGGUAAUGGGAACGGGAUAAUUAAGAUCUCGGUGGUUUUGAUCCUGUUCUGGUUGUCAGCAAAAGGCUGUCACGGACUAAGGCGAAGGGCCUGUCUGGAGGGUGAUGGGAAUAUUUGCUGGAAUGGGAAUAACUUUGGUGGGAAACAUCACGCACCGUCGAGGCAGCGAGGAGGAGCCAGCACCACUGGAUGUAUGGAGUCGCUCCCACCCAUCCGUAAAUCUCCAGGUCCCCAGGGCCGUGCUUCCAACCCUUUUCCUUUGCUCC